GACGAAGGGGGCUAGCGUUGUUCGGAAUUACUGGGCGUAAAGCGCGUGUAGGCGGUUGCCCAAGUCGGGUGUGAAAGCCUUGAGCUCAACUCAAGAAAUGCACUCGGUACUGGGUGACUAGAGGACCGGAGAGGAUAGUGGAAUUCCCAGUGUAGUGGUGAAAUACGUAGAGAUUGGGAAGAACACCGGUGGCGAAGGCGGCGAGCUGGUCCAUUACUGACGCUGAGGCGCGACAGCGUGGGGAGCAAACAGG
rnacentral:rRNA from 1 species